CGGCACGGGUGAGUAACACGUGAAUAAUCUACCUCCGAGUGGGGAAUAACUGAGAGAAAUCUUAGCUAAUACCGCAUAAUACCCACGGGUCAAAGCAGCAAUGCGCUUGGAGAGGAGUUCGCGGCAGAUUAGUUAGUUGGCGGGGUAAUGGCCCACCAAGACGAUGAUCUGUAUCCGGCCUGAGAGGGCGCACGGACACACUGGAACUGAAACACGGUCCAG
rnacentral:rRNA from 1 species